UGAGCAGGCUCUGGUUAACCCAAGUCUAAGA
rnacentral:piRNA from 1 species